CCGUCGCCGUCAUCAUCGCGGCCACCGUCAUUUCCGUUGCUCGGCAGCACAUCAAGGAGGUCCGGUGUGGCCUGCUUUAUCCGUCCUGAGCACCAAACCGAGUCGGGGCGGCCCAUACGCUCUGCAUUGCCGCCGUCUCCUUGCCACGACCGCCGUCUCUCGUCGUCAAAUUCGACGCAUCCCGGUCACCCCGCGCUCGCUGACCUCAACCACAAACACCAGGGUGAGCAUCCCCUUCGAUUCCCCCAUGUCUCCGCUUCGAUUUGUACCCGUGCACGCCACCCUCCAUCAUGGCCGAAUCUCGGCGUCCGCGUACGCGCUCAUGCUGCUGCUUUGCUGAUGCUACUACCGCUAUGUUGCUUGCUCAUGCUACUGCCGCUAUGAUGCUGUUGCUGUUGUGCCAUUGCUCCUCUGCCCGCGCUAGCUGCUACUGCUCCUUCUACCGCCGCGCCCCUGGCCGUUCAUGCCUGCCUACGCCUACACUGCCGCUCUACUGCCACUGUUUGCUGCUUGUACUGCUGCUAGCUGCCCCUUGUGCCGUCGCUGCUGUUUGCCGCCGCCGCCGCCGCCUUCUGCGUCGCUCCUGUUGCUGCCGCUACUGUCUGUCGAUGCCGCUGCUCGCUGCCGCCGCUGCUACGCCGGCCAUGGCCGAGCUAUGAGUGUAGUGUGUGUGUGUUCUGCAUAGUGUGUGUCCGUGCAGCUGGACAUGGCCGUGUGCGCCCGUGUGUGCUGAGAGCAGCGUGGUGUGUGUGUGCAGCGUGGUGUGUGAGUGUGCCGUGCGUGUGGCGGGCUGGGCUAUGCCCAGUAGUGGCCAGGCCCUUGCUUAGAUUUAGUACUACUAGGUGCGUGUGUUCUGCUAAGUUAGUCUACUACUAGUAGAUGACAUGUAAGCCCCUUUAAAUAAGUUAGAUUUAUUUAUUUGUUUAGGUAAAUAGUCUAUGACAUGUGGGCCACAACUGCCCUUUGACUAGCCAAAAUUGACUUAGUCAAUUCGGUUUAAGCUAAAUAUAAUAAUUCCAAAAAUUCAAAUAAACUUUGAAAAAUCAUAUAAAAUAAUCCGUAUUUCGGAUGAAAAAGUUGUAUACAUGAAAGUUGCUCAGAACGACGAGACGAAUCCAAAUACGCGGUCCGUUCGCCCGCCACAUGUUCCUAGCAUAGCGAACAUGGAACAUUUCCCCUCCGGUCAUCUGUCUGACGCAGGUCCGGAAUAGGGAAAACUUUCCCGGAUGUUAUCCCCCUUCGCCGGUAUCGUGUAGCACCGCGUUAGAACAUGUCUAGCUAUGCCUGUUGUCCUAUUAUGCACUUGCUUGCUAUGUAUUUACUGUUUCUCCCCCCUAUUCUCUCCGGUAGACCCCGAGACCGAUGUUGUCCCUGUGAUCGACUACGACGACGACGACCCCCUCCUUGCCAGAGCAAUCAGGCAAGCCCCCCCUUUGAUCAUCCCGAUAUCGCCCAUUCCAUUCUCUCAUGCUUGCAUUAGAUUUUGCUAUUGUUAUUGUUUGCUCCUAUUCUGAUGCAUAGCAUGUUUAUUGUAACCUGCUUAUUGUUACCUACCUGCUUAUCCUAAACUGCUUAGUAUAGGUUGGUUAGUGAUCCACCAGUGACCUCCACCUUGUCCUUGUUGCCCCUGCUUCAUCAUCGAAGACCCGAUCAACGGGAUCGAAGACCAGGCCCCGACACCGCACAUCACUUCCCCUUAGUUGCUCGACACUACUGGGUUACUAUCGAGUGCCGAGGGUGAGGCCUCAUCAGCACUUCUGAUGUUAACCCGCUAGUGUAGUUAUUCGGUCGUGGUCAUCGAGGGUGAUUCCGCCUUAACCACUUCCGAUACGACUCUGUCGUGCAACCCCUCAAGUGUGAACCUCGAGGGUGGUCCCUCUUACGUUCACCUUGAUGAUUACAUCGAGUAGAAUUCACCGGGGGUGAUUCCUCGGGUUUUCCCCUUGAUGUUUGGACACACGGUUACUAUGGUUACUAUGACUUUACGCUGAACCAUGUUACUAAAGACGGGUCGACCUUGAGGGGUACCCGCGCGAGCAUAAUUGCGAGUGAUGUGGAUUCGGGUUGACCUAGAAGGUGCCCGCGAGAUAAUUACGAGGCAUGGCCGGGCAUUCCUAGCCCUUGCCGCAAGUCCUCGAGACGGGGCGACGGGUCACAUCUUUCGUGAGUCUCUGUUUGUUACCGCGCAUUCCUAAUCCACUACGAUUUGGAUAUUUGAUCCGAGGAGCCUCUGGCCUGAUAGCACUAACCAUCACGUGGGCAUAGUAUGGGCGUUCUGCGUCGUAUGCAUCAACCGAAGCUUAAUAGACGUCAUGCGACUGAGCGGCGCGCGCCGGGUUGGACUGGUAAGCUCCCGCCUUUUUUAAGGAGGUAGCUAGGUCUGCUCACCGGCCGCCCACGCAACGUGCAGUAGUUCCCGGGGCGAUGGCCCAUGACCCCUGGGGGCAUAGGUUUAGUCCGGCGUGCUUGACCUCUCUAUUAAGCCUAGGUCGGGUUGCGGCGUAUUGUUUGGCCGAGGCCGGGCAUGACCCAGGAAAGUGUGUCCGGCCGGAGUUAAUCGAGCGUGGUGGGUAAGUUGGUGCACCCCUGCAGGGAAGAAAACAUCUAUCGAUAGCCUGUCCUACGGUAACGGACACUUGGAGUUGUAUCCCGAUCGAUACAACUAGAACUGGAUACUUGAGAUGAGACAUGGAUAUGAGGUGAUAACUAGAUAGUAUGGCUCUGGGAUUGCUUUCUCGCAGGGAGUCGAGAAAGGAUCUCUGGCUGAGGUUGAUAACACUUCUACUACUUUACUUUAUGCUACUCUACUCCCUCAUGUUGCUACAAGAUGGUGGUUUCCAGAAGAUGCUAGUCUUCGAUAGGACUAGGCUCUCCCCUCUAUUCUGGCAUUUCUGCAGCCCAGUCCACAUAUACAUCCUUCCUUUGAUAAUGUUGCAUAUGUAGUGUAGAUCCUUGCUUGCGAGUACUUGGAUGAGUACUCACGAUUGCUUUGCUCCCCUUUUUCCACCUCUUUCCAUUCUUCUCGGAUGUUGCAAUCAGAUGGUGGAGUCCAGGAGCCAGAUGCCAUCUUUGACGACUACUACUACCCCGAGGGUGCCUACUACUACACGGAGGCCGCCGACGACCAGGAGUAGUUAGGAGGCUCUCGGGCAGGAGGCCGUGCCUUUUCGGUCGUAGAUGCUUUUGUGCUAGCCUUCUUAAGGCAAACUUGUCUAACUUAUGUCUGUACUCAGAUAUUGUUGCUUCCGCUGACUCUUGUGUAUUCGAGCUUAUGUAUUCGAGCCCUCGAGGCCCCUGGCUUGUAAUAUAAAGCUUGUAUUAUUUUAUUUUGUGUCUAGAGCUGUGUUGUGAUAUCUUCCCAUGAGUCCUUGAUCUUGAUCAUACACAUUUGCGUGUAUGAUUAGUGUACGAUUGAAUCGAGGGCGUCACAAGUUGGUAUCAGAGCCGACUGCCUGUAGGUAGCCCCCUUUCCAACUCCUUGGUCGAAGUUGAGUCUAGUCAAUGAAAAACUUUUACUAACUUGGUAGUGUGGCUUAUGGGCCCAUGUCGCUAUUGGGUGGUAUUAGAAUCUUUUACUCCUCAUCUAUACUCUGGGACUCUGAUCUCUCUUCCAUUCGGGUUAAACGAAUUUACUAACUCUGACAUUAGGCUCACGUACCCACUUCCUCCCGGAGAGCCCCGGCAUUAUCGAUGAUCGCCUGCUUCACCAGAAGAUUUCGAAGUUACUCUACGUUGUUCUCUCGAGACUUUGUGCCAAUGCUUUUGCAAUUCCCUCCCAUCGAUAAACCCCUAUGAAUAACCGCGUACGCUUCCCAUUCAUAUAAUCAUUCCCCAUUGAUCUUGUUAUUACAAGAUACCCCGAAAUUCUCUCUAUUGUUCCGAGAAUACUGUGUCUACUGCCUUGUAGUUCUUUGCCACAUGAAUACCCCUUCGGAGAAUUCCUCGCCCUUACCGAGUAUCCGCUCAUCCCCAGUUGUUCAUGUGUUUCACAAAAGUCUUCGAAAUACCAUUUGAUCUUCCGUAAAUACUCAGUAGCGUAUUGUUGUUGAAUUUCUUACUUGCUUGCAUUAUGGUUAAUCCCAUAAGUCUAGUAAUCUUGUUGGCAUCACUUGUCACUAGCAUUUUGAGUCCGUCGAUUCAAUAUGUUGCAGAUGAUCGCAAUCCUCAGACAAAACUAGUAUUCAUACUUUUGGCUCAGACCUCACUCCGGACAUGAGCUGGUGUUCCGCAAAUCAAACCUUGAUUGAUUAUCAGUCUAGAUCUAUUCAACUUACUUGUCUUUGAACAAAGCCUCUGCUUCUGAUCCCCCGUUUUGGAAAUCAUAAUUCCUUUACACUUCAACGUUGCAUUUGUCAGUUGUUUCUAUAAUCCCAUCUCAUUGCAUUCUUUUCUUCGUCUGAUCGGGUACCGAUACCCACAUCAGCUCUGUUAUGUGUCAUCAGAUCUUUUGUUGGACUACCAUCCAACAGUGUCCUUCAUUUUUAAUCACCUUGUGAAUUCUUCCCUGAUACAUAAUACCUUUGGUAAAUUGUAUCCCCUACUUUUGUCUACCAUGCUCUGCUUCCGAGCUUGAGUUAAUUACCUAUGAAGUUUUUGCAAAUGUUCCUAAGAUGCCCCGACGGGUUGAACUAAUGCUUUCCCUAAUUUGUGUGAACCAAGAAAUUUCUAUGGGUCAUACUCUACCGGUGUUACGUCGGAUCACAAUUUCUACACUACAACUUCGUCAAAGGCGAGAAGUAAAUAAAAGGUUAGGCAUUGAAGAAGUGGGAGUCGACCUUGAACCUUUGUGUUCAUGCCCAUGGACCCGAUGUAGAACUUAUCAUGGAAGCUGCUCGUAAAAAUAAUUAUUUCUUUGGUACAAGCUCAUCUUGUACCUAUGAAUUGAUCCUUUGCAACCAUGGUUCCGACCAUAUUUCCUCCUUGAUUCCAAUUACUGGAUAAGUUAAAAUACUUAUCCUCUGCAAAUCAUUUCCCCCGUCCAACCUCUACUCGGAUUUACCUUCCGGCAUUACACCUAGUACUUGAUACUAGGAAGUUUUAUAACCCAUCACAUCAUUCCUAGCCUGAUCGGCUAUACUUUUAUCAUGUCAACUUUUAACUGUGCUACCUGGUCCUUAUGCCCGGAGCAACUUCCGACGAUGAGCUAAGCUUACGUCGAUCUUCCUCAUCUUAUCAUUUCACCUCGAACAACAAGCUUGACUUCGAGCUUGUGUCGAAUCCGUGGUUCUCAUAGCCUUUCACUUCAUCCUUCCUUUUCUGCUCGAUGGCAUCUUCAUAGAGUCUCUCGACAAAAUUUGUCGUGAUCACCGUCAACACUUUGGCUUCUUCAAAGAUGUCAAUUAAAUUCAUGGCUAGAAAUACCAUCCCUGCCCCUCGAUGAUUUGUGAUAUCAUCGAUGACGUCUUGACUUUCUGCCAACACGGACCUGGUUGUGCUUGGUUAUUCCUUACGUUCUGAGAUAAUCUUGGAAUUGUUUCUCGGCAUCUCUUGAGAUCUUCGAACCCAAUCUUUAAUUGACACCAUAUCAUUGCUGCAUCGAAGCAUGACGGUGGUAUUCCGAAUAUCAACAGGAACAUCGGAAGCAUAAUACAACAUGUUUCUCGUUCAAUUACCCUCACACCGUUGUAUGGGUAAUACCUUGAUUCUUCCCUCGCCCCAUUAUCUAAAUGCUUUUGAACUUGCUGUCCUAUCAAGUAUAUCCUGCUCCGCUUUUCCUUUGGAAGGAUAUACUCCCAACUCUUAUGUGUAAACACAUUUUCCUUUCCAUUGGUCUGAUUAAUCCGAUAAUUUCAUUUUCCUUUCCAUUGGUUUGUUUAACCUUCUUGUGAUCUAUAUGAUAUAAGCAGAAAUAAGUCUCUGCUUAUAAAACGCCCCGAUGUACAACCUUGUCAGUGAGACCCUGUUACUAUUGUUGAUGACAUUCCGGUAACCACCGAUGGACGCGAACCUUGCCGAUUGGUCUGCCUCGUUCCAACGAGCAGGAAAAUGGUUCUCUUCGUCCCUCGCCCUUGGUAUCGACGUCGUUGCCAACAUAACUGACAGCUUGUCAUCUGACAUGCCUUGCUAUCAUCUGUGGAAGAUGUCAGCGCCUUUCCUACCUUUAACCCACAUGGUGGGCCCAUAACCCACAGUUCCACAGGAUCGAAAUCUGACUCUCCUGUACACCCUUGUCGCCAAAGUUAUUCCUCACCCUGGCUUCGCAUGUAAUUCACGAACCACCUUCCUAGAGAUGAUCUACUCUGGUAUCAAAUGCAACACUUAUUCCGAUUGCUCCGAACCCCUUUCACCCUCUGUUUCAGGCAACAAACUAUUGCCUACCCGGUUGAAGCUUCUUAUUGCACCUCCUUACCUUGCUCUCAACGUCUUUCUUGAAUUUUGACUCGAGAGGUGCCUCUAUGCCACGUUCACUGAGAUAGCCCCCAGGUACCUAUCUUAUGUUGAGCUCCAUCCUUCCCGAGUCUUUCCCCCUUACUCCACCCCUAAAAUCUCGGGACAAGAUUUCUUAUAGUGCACGAGAUUUGUAACACCUCCAGUGUCAUGCUACAGUAAACUCUUAUUUGCCACAUCAUCAUAAUUAAAUUUUGCUAAUCAUCACUUUGUCCCAAACCUACCUCAAAUUCAAAUUUAAAAAAAAGUCAAAAUUAUUUCUCCUCAAGCUAUAAAACUAAAAUGUUCGAAUAGUUCUAUACAAUUUCCCUGAUGAAUGCCAUGUUGAAACCAACUUGGUUUGACUCAAAAUAAAUUCCUAGGAAAUUAAUAAGUGGCCCAAAGCAUUUAAAUUGGCUUUUUCAAAAUAAGCAAAUAUUUAUAAUUUUCCAAAUGAUGCGAAACAUUGUGUGUGGUCUCAAAAUAUUGCAAUACUAAUUAUGUGGCCAUCUAGACUUUUUACAAAACUCUUUUGCUAACAAAUUAAUAUGCAAAACAGAGUUAUAAAAAAUAGGAAGCAUAAAAGAGAGAGAGGUGCUACUGGGCAUUUGGCCCAGCUAGCUACACAAAAGACCCAGCCCACCCCCGCUUGUCCUGUUCCUCACGCUACAGGGGACAAGGGGGGCCGUGGAGGCCAUCCGCCGGCGAUGGCCGUGCGUGGCGGCCAUCCGUCCCCUGCCCCUGCCUACAAAGCCCCCCCGGGCGCCCCCUCGAAACCCUAGCGCCCUCCUCCUCUCGCCCCAUCUCCCUCCCUCGCGCUCGGCCUCGUCGGCCUCCUCCGCCCCACCUCGCCGUCGCCGUCAUCAUCGCGGCCACCGUCGUUUCUGUUGCUCGGCAGCACAUCAAGGAGGUCCGGUGUGGCCUGCUUUGUCCGUCCUGAGCACCAAACCGAGUCGGGGCGGCCCAUACGCUCUGCAUCGCCGUCGUCUCCUCGCCACGACCGCCGUCUCUCGUCGUCAAAUUCAACGCAUCCCGGUCACCCCGCGCUCGCUGACCUCAACCACAAACACCAGGGUGAGCAUCCCCUUCGAUUCCCCCAUGUCUCCGCUUUGAUUUGUACCCGUGCACGCCACCCUCCGUCAUGGCCGGAUCUCGGCGUCCGCGUACGCGCUCAUGCUGCUGCUUUGCUGAUGCUACUGCCGCUAUGAUGCUGUUGCUGUUGUGCCGUUGCUCCUCUGCCCGCGCUAGUUGCUACUGCUCCUUCUACCGCCGCGCCCUUGGCCGUCCGUGCCCGCCUACGCCUACACUGCCGCUCUACUGCCACUGUUUGCUGCUUGUACUGCUGCUGGCUGCCCCUUGUGCCGUCGCUGCUGUUUGCCGCCGCCGCCGCCGCCUUCUGCGUCGCUCCUGUUGCUGCCGCUACUGUCUGUUGAUGCCGCUGCUCGCUACCACGGCUGCUACGGCCGGCCAUGGCCGAGCUGUGAGUGUAGUGUGUGUGUGUUCUGCAUAGUGUGUGUCCGUGCAGCUGGACAUGGCCGUGUGCGCCCGUGUGUGCUGAGAGCUGCGUGGUGUGUGUGUGUGUGUGCAGCGUGGUGUGUGAGUGCGCCGUGCGUGUGGCCGGCUGGGCUAUGCCCAGUAGUGGCCAGGCCCUUGCUUAGAUUUAGUACUACUAGGUGCGUGCGUUCUGCUAAGUAAGUAUAAUACUAGUAGAUGACAUGUAAGCCCCUUUAAAUAAGUUAGAUUUAUUUAUUUGUUUAGGUAAAUAGUCUAUGACAUGUGGGCCACAACUGCCCUUUGACUAGCCAAAAUUGACUUAGUCAAUUCGGUUUAAGCUAAAUAUAAUAAUUCCAAAAAUUCAAAUAAACUUUGAAAAAUCAUAUGGAAAUCAUUAGAACACGUCUAGCUAUGCCCAUUGUCCUGUUAUGCACUUGCUUGCUAUGUAUUUACUGUCCCCCCCCAUUCUCUCCGGUAGACCCAGAGACCGAUGUUGCCCCUGUGAUCGACUACGUCGACGACGACCCCCUCCUUGCCAGAGCAAUCAGGCAAGCCCCCCCUUUGAUCAUCCCGAUAUCGCCCAUUCCAUUCUCUCAUGCUUGCAUUAGAUUUUGCUAUUGUUAUUGUUUGCUCCUAUUCUGAUGCAUAGCAUGUUUAUUGUAACCUGCUUUUGUUACCUACCUGCUUAUCCUAAACUGCUUAGUAUAGGUUGGUUAGUGAUCCACCAGUGACCCCCACCUUGUCCUUGUUGCCCCUGCUUCAUCAUCGAAGACCCGAUCAACGGGAUCGAAGACCAGGCCCCGACACCGCACAUCACUUCCCCUUAGUUGCUCGACACUACUGGGUUACUAUCGAGUGCCGAGGGUGAGGCCUCAUCAGCACUUAUGAUGUUAACCCGCUAGUGUAGUUAUUCGGUCGUGGUCAUCGAGGGUGAUUCUGCCUUAACCACUUCCGAUACGACUCUGUUGUGCAACCCCUCAAGUGUGAACCUCGAGGGUGGUCCCUCUUACGUUCACCUUGAUGAUUACAUCGAGUGGAAUUCACCGGGGGUGAUUCCUCGGGUUUUCCCCUUGAUGUUUGGACACACGGUUACUAUGGUUACUAUGACUUUACACUGAACCAUGUUACUAAAGACAGGUCGACCCUGAGGGGUACCCGCGCGAGCAUAAUUGCGAGUGAUGUGGAGUCGGGUUGACCUGGAAGGUGCCCGCGAGAUAAUUACGAGGCGUGCCCGGGCAUUCCUAGCCCUUGCCGCAAGUCCUCGAGAUGGGGCGACGGGGUCACAUCUUUCAUGAGUCUCUGCUUGUUACCGCGCGUUCCUAAUCCACUACGAUUUGGAUAUUUGAUCCGAGGGGCCUCUGGCCUGAUAGCACUAACCAUCACGUGGGCAUAGUAUGGGCGUUCUGCGUCGUAUGCAUCAGCCGGAGCUUAAUAGAUGUCAUGCGACUGAGCGGCGCGCGCCGGGUUGGACCGGUAAGCUCCCGCCUUUUUAAAGGAGGUAGCUAGGUCUGCUCACCGGCCGCCCACGCAAUGUGCAGGAGUUCCCGGGGCGAUGGCCCAUGACCCCUGGGGGCAUAGGUUUAGUCCGGCGUGCUUGACCUCUCUAUUAAGCCUAGGUCGGGUUGCGGCGUAUUGUUUGGCCGAGGUCGGGCAUGACCCAGGAAAGUGUGUCCGGCCGGAGUUAAUCGAGCAUGGUGGGUAAGUUGGUGCACCCCUGCAGGGAAGAAAACAUCUAUCGAUAGCCUGGCCUACAGUAACGGACACUUGGAGUUGUAUCCUGAUCGAUACAACUAGAACUGGAUACUUGAGAUGAGACAUGGAUAUGAGGUGAUAACUAGAUAGUAUGGCUCUGGGAUUGCUUUCUCGCAGGGAGUCGAGAAAGGAUCUCUAGCUGAGGUUGAUAACACUUCUACUACUUUACUUUAUGCUACUCUACUCCCUCAUGUUGCUACAAGAUGGUGGUUUCCAGAAGAUGCUAGUCUUCGAUAGGACUAGGCUCUCCCCUCUAUUCUGGCAUUUCUGCAGCCCAGUCCACAUAUACAUCCUUCCUUUGAUAAUGUUGCAUAUGUAGUGUAGAUCCUUGCUUGCAAGUACUUUGGAUGAGUACUCACGGUUGCUUUGCUCCCCUUUUUCCACCUCUUUCCAUUCUUCUCGGAUGUUGCAAUCAGAUGGUGGAGUCCAGGAGCCAGAUGCCAUCUUUGACGACUACUACUACCCCGAGGGUGCCUACUACUACACGGAGGCCGCCGACGACCAGGAGUAGUUAGGAGGCUCCCGGGCAGGAGGCCUUGCCUUUUCGAUCGUAGAUGCUUUUGUGCUAGCCUUCUUAAGGCAAACUUGUCUAACUUAUGUCUGUGCUCAGAUAUUGUUGCUUCCGCUGACUCUUGUGUAUUCGAGCUUAUGUAUUCGAGCCCUCGAGGGCCCUGGCUUGUAAUAUAAAGCCUGUAUUAUUUUAUUUUUUGUCUAGAGUUGUGUUGUGAUAUCUUCCCGUGAGUCCUUGAUAUUGAUCGUACACAUUUGCGUGUAUGAUUAGUGUACAAUUGAAUCGAGGGCGUCACAUAUUUGAAGGAAAUAUGCCCUAGAGGCAGCAAUAAAGUUGUUAUUUAUAUUUCCUUAUAUCAUGAUAAAUGUUUAUUAUUCAUACUAAAAUUGUAUUAACCGG
rnacentral:lncRNA from 1 species